rnacentral:rRNA from 1 species
GCCAUGCCGCGUGAGUGAUGAAGGCCCUAGGGUUGUAAAGCUCUUUUGUGCGGGAAGAUAAUGACGGUACCGCAAGAAUAAGCCCCGGCUAACUUCGUGCCAGCAGCCGCGGUAAUACUAAGGGGGCUAGCGUUGCUCGGAAUCACUGGGCGUAAAGGGUGCGUAAGCGGGUUUCUAAGUCAGAGGUGAAAUCCUGGAGCUCAACUCCAGAACUGCCUUUGAUACUGGAAGUCUUGAGUAUGGGAGAGGUGAGUGGAACUGCGAGUGUAGAGGUGAAAUUCAUAUAUAUUCGCAAGAACACCAUUGGCGAAUGCGGCUCACUGGCCCAUUACUGACGCUGAGGCACGAAAGCGUGGGGAGCAAACAGGAUUAAAUACCCUGGUAGUCCACGCCAUAAACGAUGAAGGCCAGCCGUUAGUGGGUUUACUCACUAGUGGCGCAGCUUACGCUUUAAGCAUUCCGCCUGGGGAGUACGGUCGCAAGAUUAAAACUCAAAGGAAUUGACGGGGGCCCGCACAAGCGGUGGAGCAUGUGGUUUAAUUCGACGCAGCGCGCAGAACCUUACCAGCCCUUGACAUGUCCAGGACCGGUCGCAUAUAUGUGACCUUCUCUUCG